rfam:Triticum aestivum genome assembly, contig: Triticum_aestivum_CS42_TGACv1_scaffold_159135_2DL
UACAUAUUCCCUCCGUUUGAAAAUACUUGUCAUCAAAAUGAAUAAAAAAGAUGUAUCUACACAUAUUUUAGUUUGAGAUACAUUUCUUUUUAUUUAUUUUGAUAACAAGCAUUUUCGGACAGAGGGAGUACAAC